GGAAGUAAAAGUCGUAACAAGAUUUCCGUAGGUGAACCUGCGGAAGGAUCAUUACUGAGUGAGGGCCCCUCGGGGUCCAACCUCCCACCCGUGUUUAACGAACCUUGUUGCUUCGGCGGGCCCGCCUCACGGCCGCCGGGGGGCAUCUGCCCCCGGGCCCGCGCCCGCCGAAGCCACCUGUGAACGCUGCCUGAAGUAUGCAGUCUGAGACAAUUAUUAAAUUAAUUAAAACUUUCAACAACGGAUCUCUUGGUUCCG
rnacentral:misc_RNA from 1 species